UUAACAGGUUAAGGUUGACUGAGGCCUUCAGAGGCUAACCCAAAGGGUAAAUGAAGCACGUCUCCACAAAGCCCAGAGAAGAGAGGGCAAAACUCCUCUCUGGAUCCUGUCUGGAGUGACAGCU